rnacentral:rRNA from 1 species
GGGGAAUAUUGCACAAUGGAGGAAACUCUGAUGCAGCAACGCCGCGUGAGUGAUGAAGGUCUUCGGAUUGUAAAGCUCUGUCUUCUGGGACGAUAAUGACGGUACCAGAGGAGGAAGCCACGGCUAACUACGUGCCAGCAGCCGCGGUAAUACGUAGGUGGCAAGCGUUGUCCGGAAUUACUGGGCGUAAAGGGUGCGCAGGCGGACAUUUAAGUGAGAUGUGAAAGACCCGGGCUUAACUUGGGCAGUGCAUUUCAAACUGGAUGUCUGGAGUGCAGGAGAGGAGAACGGAAUUCCUAGUGUAGCGGUGAAAUGCGUAGAGAUUAGGAAGAAUACCAGUGGCGAAGGCGGCUUUCUGGACUGUAACUGACGCUGAGGCAUGAAAGCGUGGGGAGCAAAC